AACAAAAACAAAAAUAAAAAGAAAGCAUCGAAACAAAUAUAUCAAUCUAUACAAAUUAUAUAACUCAGACAUAAAUGCGUAUGUAUGAUAAAGACUGCCAUGCUUAAUAACAAUCUUAAACUGUUUAUAAGUUUACAUAGACUGUUCCAGCUUUUAUAACGUUUUCCUUUGCCCAGAAAUCUGCUCUUGAUUUUUCCGCAUAAUAUCAG
rnacentral:misc_RNA from 1 species